UACGUAGGGUGCGAGCGUUAAUCGGAAUUACUGGGCGUAAAGCGUGCGUAGGUGGUUCGUUGUGUCUGUGGUGAAAGCCCCGGGCUUAACCUGGGAAUGGCCAUGGAAACUGGCGAGCUGGAGUGUGGCAGAGGGGGGUGGAAUUCCGCGUGUAGCAGUGAAAUGCGUAGAGAUGCGGAGGAACACCGAUGGCGAAGGCAGCCCCCUGGGCUAACACGGACGCUGAGGCACGAAAGCGUGGGGAGCAAACAGG
rnacentral:rRNA from 1 species